GUUGUGUGCUCGGUGUUGCUUUUAAUUUUCUCGAUAAUUGUUUAGCAAGUUGAUAUUAUCUUUAGUUGUACGUUUAAUAUGGAAUUGCAUCCAUGUCUCAUAAACACUCCCGGAUUUCAUUUUGGAAUCCAGUUUUGCAGGCGUUGUAGAUAUCCACUGCUAAUUGUCGUGUGGUUGUACCCUUGUUUAAGGUAGCAUGUCGGGAAGGCUGGGCGAGUUUUGGUGAAAUAUUGUAGAUAGGGUUGUAGUUGCAACAUAUGUUAAUAUCUAGUUCAUUGUAUAGUUUAAUGCUUUCUUGAGACUUCCGCUGUGUUUGUAAGAAUCAUAUGUUUUGUGUUAUCAAUAAAAUGGCUAUUGAUUAACUUAGUUGCUAGAACUUGAGUUUUAGGAAUGGGUUGGUGGAUGAUGUUGCACCCUCACGUUGGUUUGGGCUCAUUUGAAUGCUGGCCGGGGUGAGGUGUGACAGCUUGGUAUCAGAGCCUAGGCUUACCUAGAUUCUGAGAGUCGUUGAGCGAGUGACGAUUUAGCAGUGGAUUUAGGAGUCGACCAUAUUUUGUCAAGUAAUUUAGUGUUGGUUUAUCUAACAUGAUAAAAUAGUAUAUGUUGUUGCUGUUGUUAAAUUGAAUUGCAACAGGUAAGGAAAAUGGAAGAAGAAGCCUCUUCCCAUCCUAAACAAGUUGAUCCAGCUGCACCGACAAGAGUUCAGGCAGGGGGUAGAGAUAUAGAUAGACUUUUGGCAGUUUUAGCACAGUAUACUGAACGAUAAGCUGCACCUCCGGUUAAUCAUAACGUUGGAUUACUAGAGAAGUUCAAGAAGCUUUAUCCAACGGAGUUUGACAGUACUUUUAAACCUCAAGAGGCAAAGGAUUGGUUGAAAACGGUUGCGAGGGUUCUAACAACUAUGGGAGUUACUGAUGAACAGAAGGUGACCUUACAACCUUCACUUUGAAAGGGCAAGCUUUAAUAUGGUAGGAGGGAAGUCAGAGGUUGCUAUUAGCCCCAUUACCAGAUGUUCAGCCACCACUGCCACAAGUAAUUACAUGUGCAAUGUUUGUGAAGGCUUUUAAUGAUUGUUAUUGUCCUGAGAUGUAUCGUUUUCAACAGGAAGCAGAUUUUAUUAAUCUUAAAUAGGGGAGUAUGUUGGUGGCCGAAUGUGAAGCCAAGUUUAAUGCUCUUUCAGCCUAUGCUACAGAUAUGGUGGAUAUUGAAGAAAAGAAGGGUAGACGGUUCAGAAGUGGACUGGAGGAAAAUGUUCAAAUCAGAAUGACGUCUUAUAAAGAAAAAGACUAAUGCGGAGUUGAUUUAAAAGGCGAAGAAGGUUGGUAAGGAUGUUGAAGAAAUGUUUAGUAGAUGAGACCAAUCAAAGAAGAGUAAAAUCGAGGCAAAGUAGGCUAGCUAGGGGGGAAACUCAGGUGGGUUUUAUAGAGGUGGAGGAAGAUUUCAACAUUUGAAAGGUAAAAGUGAGGGUAAACAAUAAGGCAGUCAAGGCUAUGAGGCAAGUAAGCCAAGUUUUGGUAGAAGGAGUAGUUCAAGUGGACGUCGGACUCCUUUUCAGUGUUAUCGGUGUGGGUCACCUGAUCAUCGCAUGAGAGAUUGUCCAGAAUCGGGGAAAGGGUUUAAAUAUUUUAGAUGUGGAGAAAUGGGGCAUAUUGCAACUCAUUGCACGAAACCGCAAGCUUCAGGUGCAUCUUCUAGUGGCAGUGUUCCGACAGGCCGUGGAACGAGUUUUAGUGGGUUUGUUGGUCGGGGUGGUGGAGUGGGUGGACCUACAACACCGGGGAGAGUGUUUGCCAUGACACAGCAAAAUGUUCAGGCAACUCCGAAUGUGGUGACAGGUGACGAGUCGGUGUAUCAAGGAGCACCGAAACCAUAGUAGUACUUUCUUUUGGAGUACGAGUUUAGCAGGCGUUGUAGAUAUCCACUGCUAAUCAUCGUGUGGUUGUACCCUCGUUUAGGGUAGCAUGUCGGGAAGGUUGGAUGAGUUUUGGCGAAAUAUUGUAGAUAGGGUUGUAGUUGCAGCCUAUGUUAAUAUCUAGUUCAUUGUAUAGUUUAAUAUUUUCUUGAGACUUCCACUGUGUUUGUAAGAACGAUAUGUUUUGUGUUAUCAAUAAAAUGGCUG